rnacentral:rRNA from 1 species
GAUGAACGCUGGCGGCGUGCCUAAUACAUGCAAGUCGAGCGAACAGACGAGGAGCUUGCUCCUCUGACGUUAGCGGCGGACGGGUGAGUAACACGUGGAUAACCUACCUAUAAGACUGGGAUAACUUCGGGAAACCGGAGCUAAUACCGGAUAAUAUAUUGAACCGCAUGGUUCAAUAGUUACAUACGGUUUUGCUGUCACUUAUAGAUGGAUCCACGCCGCAUUAGCUAGUUGGUAAGGUAACGGCUUACCAAGGCAACGAUGCGUAGCCGACCUGAGAGGGUGAUCGGCCACACUGGAACUGAGACACGGUCCAGACUCCUACGGGAGGCAGCAGUAGGGAAUCUUCCGCAAUGGGCGAAAGCUUGACGGAGCAACGCCGCGUGAGUGAUGAAGGUCUUCGGAUCGUAAAACUCUGUUAUUAGGGAAGAACAAAUGUGUAAGUAACUAUGCACGUCUUGACGGUACCUAAUCAGAAAGCCACGGCUAACUACGUG